rnacentral:tRNA from 1 species
GGAGACGUGACCGAGUGGCCGAAGGUGCACGAUUGCUAAUCGUGUGUAGGAUCAAAAGUUCUACCGAGGGUUCGAAUCCCUCCGUCUCCGCCA